AAAGACUUAGUCCUAACCUUACCGUUAAUUUUUGCUAGACAUAUACAUGCAAGUAUCCGCGUCCCAGUGUAAAUGCCCCUGUUCCCUCACCCAAGGCCAAGGGAGCUGGUAUCAGGCACACCCAUAGAUGUAGCCCAAGACACCUUGCUCAGCCACACCCCCACGGGUAUUCAGCAGUAAUUAACAUUAAGCAAUAAGUGAAAACUUGACUUAGUCAUAGCAAUCAUCCACCUAGGGCCGGUAAAUCUUGUGCCAGCCACCGCGGUUACACAAGAGGCCCAAAUUAACAGUCUGCGGCGUAAAGAGUGGUAUUAUAUUAUCGUAUCAACUAAGACCGAAAUGCAACUGAGCUGUCAUAAGCUUAAGAUGUCCCUAAGCCCUUCAUCAAGAUGAUCUUAGCACAUUCGCCUAAUUGAACCCACUAAAGCUAGGACACAAACUGGGAUUAGAUACCCCACUAUGCCUAGCCCUAAAUCUAGACGCUAACUCUACUCUAGCGUCCGCCCGAGAACUACGAGCAUAAACGCUUAAAACUCUAAGGACUUGGCGGUGCCCCAAACCCACCUAGAGGAGCCUGUCCUAUAAUCGAUAACCCACGAUAUACCCAACCCCCCCUAGCAAGGUCAGCCUACAUACCGCCGUCGCCAGCCCACCCUCACUGAGGGGAUAAUAGUGGACAAAAUAGCUCUUCGCUAAUAAGACAGGUCAAGGUAUAGCCUAUGGGGUGGAAGAGAUGGGCUACAUUUUCUAGCAGUAGAACAUUACGGAGCGGGGUGUGAAACCACUCCUAAAAGGUGGAUUUAGUAGUAAGAGGGGAUAAUAAAGCCCCUCUGAAGACGGCUCUGGGGCACGUACAUACCGCCCGUCACCCUCCUCAUAAGCUACACCCACCCAUAAUUAAUAUGCCACUUUGCCAGAGAUGAGGUAAGUCGUAACAAGGUAAGUGUACCGGAAGGUGCACUUAGCAUAU
rnacentral:rRNA from 1 species